rnacentral:rRNA from 1 species
GACGAACGCUGGCGGCGUGCUUAACACAUGCAAGUCGAACGGAAAGGCCCUGCUUUUGUGGGGUGCUCGAGUGGCGAACGGGUGAGUAACACGUGAGUAACCUGCCCUUGACUUUGGGAUAACUUCAGGAAAUUGGGGCUAAUACCGGAUAGGAGCUCCUGCUGCAUGGUGGGGGUUGGUAAGUUUCGGCGGUUGGGGAUGGACUCGCGGCUUAUCAGCUUGUUGGUGGGGUAGUUGCUUACCAAGGUUUUGACGGGUAGCCGGCCUGAGAGGGUGACCGGCCACAUUGGGACUGAGAUACGGCGCAGACUACUACGGGAGGCAGCAGUGGGGAAUAUUGCACAAUGGGCGGAAGCCUGAUGCAGCAACGCGGCGGGCGGGAUGACGGCCUUCGGGUGGUAAACCGCUUUCGCCUGUGACGAAGCGUGAGUGACGGUAAUGGGUAAAGAAGCACCGGCUAACUAC